rnacentral:lncRNA from 1 species
CCCCCUAUAGGGUCCCAGAACCCCCCCCUAUAGGGCCCCAUAAAUACUGCCCCUAUAGGGCCCCGCAGCCCCUAUAGAGCCCCAUAAAUACCCUAUAGGGCCCCCGAGCCCCCUAUAUGGCCCUAUAGGACCCCAUAAAUACUGCCCCUAUAGGGCCCUACAGCCCCUAUAGGGCCCCGUAAAUACUGCCCUAUAAAUACUGCCCCUAUAGGGCCCCCACAGCCCCCUAUAUGGCCCUAUAGCCCCUAUAGGGCCCCGUAAAUACCCUAUAGAGCCCCCGAGCCCCCUAUAUGGCCCUAUAGGGCCCCGUAAAUACUGCCCCUACAAAUACUGCCCCUAUAGGGCCCCCGCAGCCCCCUAUAUGGCCCUACAACCCCUAUAGGGCCCCAUAAAUACCCUAUAGGGCCCCCGAGCCCCCUAUAUGGCCCUAUAGGCCCUAUAGGGCCCCAUAAAUACUGACCCCAUAAAUACUGCCCCUAUAGGGCCCUACAGCCCCCUAUAGGGCCCCAUAAAUACCCUAUAGGGCCCCCGAGCCCCCUAUAUGGCCCUACAGCCCCUAUAGGGCCCCGUAAAUACUGCCCUAUAAAUACUGCCCCUAUAGGGCCCCCACAGCCCCCUAUAUGGCCCUAUAGCCCCUAUAGGGCCCCGUAAAUACCCUAUAGAGCCCCCGAGCCCCCUAUAUGGCCCUAUAGGGCCCCGUAAAUACUGCCCCUACAAAUACUGCCCCUAUAGGGCCCCCGCAGCCCCCUAUAUGGCCCUACAACCCCUAUAGGGCCCCAUAAAUACCCUAUAGGGCCCCCGAGCCCCCUAUAUGGCCCUAUAGGCCCUAUAGGGCCCCAUAAAUACUGACCCCAUAAAUACUGCCCCUAUAG